UAGGGAAUCUUCCGCAAUGGACGCAAGUCUGACGGAGCAACGCCGCGUGAGUGAAGAAGGCUUUCGGUUCGUAAAACUCUGUUGUUAGAGAAGAACAGCGCAUAGAGUAACUGUUAUGCGUGUGACGGUAUCUAACCAGAAAGCCACGGCUAACUACGUGCCAGCAGCCGCGGUAAUACGUAGGUGGCAAGCGUUGUCCGGAUUUAUUCGGCGUAAAGCGAGCGCAUGCGGUCAAUUAAGUCUGAUGUGAAAGCCCCCGGCUCAACCGGGGAGGGUCAUUGAAAUCGGGUUGACUGAAGAGCAGAAGAGGAGAGUGGAAUUCCAUGUGUAGCGGUGAAAUGCGUGGAUAUAUGGAGGAGCACCAGUGGCGAGGGCGACUCUCUGGUCUGUAACUAGCGCUGAGGCUCGAAAGCGUAGGUAGCAAACAGG
rnacentral:rRNA from 1 species